ACUUUUUCUACUAAACUUGACUUUGUCCAUAUUCCUAUUACUACCACUUAUCUAAAAAUUAGUCUUAGAAAUUAGAUAUGCUACCCUAUCUAACACAACAAGAAAUACAUAUAAUUAUUAACACUUCUAAUAUUGGUUAUAUUGACUAUUGCCACAAUCAUAUAAUCCUCAACCUUCCAUAAGAAAAUGUAAAAAAAUAAAACAUUAAAAGCAUAUUGAUCUUCAUACCAAUUCCAUGAAUAUAUUGAUCUUCAAUACCUCCAUUAAUACCUAUGCACUGUACCAAAGUUUUUCCUGGAAAACAACGAAGGCUAGUAGAUGAAAAUAGCAAUCACUUGCUCCCAUAUAGAAUUUGCAAUUCUAUCAACAU
rnacentral:lncRNA from 1 species